rnacentral:lncRNA from 1 species
GGCUCAGUGAUUUCUGGGCAUGUCUGCAGGCCUGAGAUACUGCGAACAUAUUGAACCAUCCAUCGACCCUCCGUG